rnacentral:rRNA from 1 species
GAGAGAGACAUGCGCGCAUAUCAAUAAGCGGAGGAAAAGAAACUAACAAGGAUUCCCCUAGUAACGGCGAGUGAAGCGGGAAGAGCUCAAAUUUGAAAUCUUAAAGGGUUUCCCUUUACGAAUUGUAGUUUAAAGAAGUGUUUUCUGUUGAGGUUUUGGUAAAAGUUCUUUGGAAUAGGACAUCAUAGAGGGUGAGAAUCCCGUAUUUGACCUUUACUUUCAACUUUGUGAUACACUUUCAAAGAGUCGGAUUGUUUGGGAAUGCAGUCCAAAAUGGGUGGUAAAUUUCAUCUAAAGCUAAAUAUUGGCGAGAGACCGAUAGCGAACAAGUACCGUGAGGGAAAGAUGAAAAGAACUUUGAAAAGAGAGUUAAACAGUACGUGAAAUUGUCAAAAGGGAAGCGUUUGACACCAGUGUUGUUUUUCUGAAAAUCAAUUAAAGAACUGUUUAUGCUAAGUUGUUUAGACUUUAUCAGCUAUCUGUUUAGUUUUGAGCUUUUCUUUAAUGCACUUUUCAGUUAACAAGUCAACAUCAAUUUCUUUUGCUGUAAAAAAGCUUGAGGAAGGUGGCUUGAGAUUCGUCUUAAGUGUUUAUAGCCUCUUGCCUAUGCAGUCGGAGAGAUUGAGGUCUGCAGCGUAGAUCCUUCGGGGCUAAAUGCAUUUGUGCUAAGUUAUAGCAUUUUAUAGACAACUUGUUGACUAUGAUUUGUCUUGUAGCUUACUCGCUUAUGUUAUUUUACCUACGCUUAGGAUGUUGAGCGCAUGUCUCUCUCU